AAUUUAAUGAAACUUCACAGUAACGAUGAGCAACAUUGGUAGAUGUGGAAUUUGGCGUUGGAAUUUCCAAAAUGUCUGCCGUUACCAUGGAAACAAUGCAAAAAUGGUCAAAAUGGUCCAAAAACACCUAAAAGUGGCAUUUACUUUCUUAAAAGGGUAGGUCAAAUCCAUUGAAACUCUGAUGGUAUGUUCCCUCCCAUGUACCAAUGUGGUAUCUGCCAUUAGAAAUUUGGAAUGGUCUGUGUAACCAUAGAAACCAGCCAAAAUGUCAAAAAUUUCAAAAAUUUCAAAAUGCUCAAAAAGUAAUGAAACUUACUAUGAUUGUUGACUGUCAAGUCUGCAUGAAACUUUUGAAGUUGGAAUUUCCAAAAUGGCCA
rnacentral:lncRNA from 1 species